rnacentral:rRNA from 1 species
CCUACGGGUGGCAGCAGUGAGGAAUAUUGGUCAAUGGGCGCGAGCCUGAACCAGCCAAGUAGCGUGAAGGAUGAAUGACCUACGGGUCGUAAACCUCUUUUAUAAGGGAAUAAAGUGCGGCACGCGUGCCUCUUCGCAUGUACUUUAUGAAUAAGGAUCGGCUAACUCCGUGCCAGCAGCCGCGGUAAUACGGAGGAUCCGAGCGUUAUCCGGAUUUAUUGGGUUUAAAGGGAGCGUAGAUGGGUUGUUAAGUCAGUUGUGAAAGUUUGCGGCUCAACCAUAAAAUUGCAGUUGAUACUGGCAGCCUUGAGUACAGUUGAGGUAGGCGGAAUGCGUGGUGUAGCGGUGAAAUGCUUAGAUAUCACGAAGAACUCCGAUUGCGAAGGCAGCCUACUAAGCUGCCACUGACAUUGAUGCUCGAAAGUGUGGGUAUCAAACAGGAUUAGAUACCCUGGUAGUC